CCUGCCAGUAAUUUCAGCAAAUGAAACGUGGAACAUGUAAAGGCCAAAUGAUGGAAAACACUCAGGUUUUAAUAAAAGGAGGUCUGCUCGGCUGGGACUCCUCUGUCCUGCUAGUCAGGAGAUGCAAAGAUUUAUCCAGAGAGGGGCUGAUGAAUUGAAGAAACAGAAAUGAGGCCAAUUUCCCAGACCAGGGAUUGAAUCCAGGCCACGGCAGUGAAAGCCUGGAAUCCCAACCACUAGGCCAGCCGAGAACUCCCUGGGACCAGCUUCUUAGUUUGAAAAUUGUCAAAUAAAGAGGAAAGAGUCAAGCGUGUAUCCUUUCUGCCCCUGAUUCAACGGUGACACAUGAAUGAUGUUCAGUGAACAGUCAUCAAAUGGACCAACCAACCAGGCUACCAUCACCUCUGAGUGCGCCUCCAUCUGAAAUUGCAGAAACCCUCUAUAGCCACUGUGACCUCCAGUUCCCAUUUCAGACAGGCUGACAUCCAUGAUGUCACAUGAUAGAAGGUGACUCCAGAGAGACUGACUACAACAAGGCUCCUGGAGGGAGCUAUGGCAGACAAGAGUGGGUGUGGUUUUUCUUUAAUUAUUGUACCUGUUUUGUCUGUUCUUUCUUGGCUCUGUUCACAUCUCCACCCCAGCGCCAGUGCAGGGGGGAAAAAAAAACAGAACAAAAAGCAUCGCAGAGUUUGAGACAAGAUAGCUGGCCGGUUCCCUCUCUGCUUGUAAUUAAUGCUGAAAAUGACUUGCCUUGGCCACAAAGGUAAUAAUAAAGUCAGGGAGUCUGA